rnacentral:ncRNA from 1 species
UCAACUGAAUAUUAUAAAGGUUCUUUACUUAAGUAAAGUGAAAAGGGAAAUCGGUGUAAUUCCGAUGCGGUCCCGCCACUGUAUGUGUGAGUUUUUUCAAUCUGCGCCACUGAAAAUUUCGGGAAGGCUUGAAAAAGCGUAUGGAGCACGAGCCAGGAGACCUGCCUUUAUAGAAAACACGUU